rnacentral:lncRNA from 1 species
UUUUUUUUUUUAAUUUUUUUAAGUUUGGAGGUACCAUUGCAGGUUUGUUACAUAGGUAAACUUCUGUCAUGGAGGUUGGUUGUGCAGAUUAGUUCAUCACCUAGGUAUUAAGCCUAGUAUUCAUUAGUCGUUUUUUUUUUAUCCUCUCCCUCCUCCCACCGUCUAACCUCCAAAAAACCCCAGUGUAUGUUGUUCCCUUCUGCAUCCUUCUGAGAACCCUCAGUAUUUGGUUUUCUGUUCCUGUUAGUUUGCUAAGGAUAAUGACCUCCAGGUCCAUCCAUGUCCCUGCAAAGGAUAUGAUCUCAUUCUUUUUUUUUUUUCUUUGAGACGGAGUCUCGCUGUGUCACCCAGGCUGGAGUGCAGUGGCCCGAUCUCUGCUCACUGCAAGUUCCGCCUCGCAGGUUCACACCAUUCUCCUGCCUCAACCUACUGAGUAGCUAGGACUACAGGCACCCACCACCAUGCCCAGCUAAUUUUUCAUAUUUUUAGUAGAGAUGGGGUUUCACCAUGUUCGCCAGGAUGGUCUCGAUCUCCUGACCUCGUGAUCUGCCCGUCUCGGCCUCCCAAAGUGCUGGGAUUACAGGCGUGAGCCACUGUGCCUGGCUGAUCUCAUUCUUUUUUUUUUUAUGGCUGCAUAGUAUUUCAUGGUGCAUAUGUACCACAUUUUUCUUUAUCCAGUCUAUUAUUAAUGGGUCUUUAGGUUGAUUUCAUGUCUUUGAUAUUGUAAAUAGUGCUGUAAUAAACGUAUGUGUAUAAUAUGGUUUGGCUCUGUGUCCCCACUAAAGUCUCAUCUUGAAUUGUAAUCCCCACAUGUUGGGGAGGGAUCUUGUGGGAGGUGAUUAGGUCAUAGGGGUGGUCCCCUCAUGCUGUCCUCAUAAUAGUGAGUGAGCUCUCAUGAGAGCUGAUGGUUUUAUCAGGGACUUUUCCCCCUUUUCUCAGUACUUCUCUCUCCUGCCACCAUGUGAAGGAGGAUGUGUUUGCUUCCUCUUCCACCAUGAUUGUAAGUUUCCCUGCAGAACUGUGAGUCAAUUCAACCUCUUUCAUUUAUAACUUAUGCAGUCUUAGGAAGUUCUUUCUAGUAGUGUGGGAAUGGACUAAUACAGUAAACUGGUACCACAGAGAGUGGGGCACUGCUGUAAAGAUACCCAAAAAUGUUGAGGUGACUAUGGAAC